GAUGAACGCUGGCGGCGUGCCUAAUACAUGCAAGUCGAGCGAACGGACGAGAAGCUUGCUUCUCUGAUGUUAGCGGCGGACGGGUGAGUAACACGUGGAUAACCUACCUAUAAGACUGGGAUAACUUCGGGAAACCGGAGCUAAUACCGGCUAAUAUUUUGAACCGCAUGGUUCAAAAGUGAAAGACGGUCUUGCUGUCACUUAUAGAUGGAUCCGCGCUGCAUUAGCUAGUUGGUAAGGUAACGGCUUACCAAGGCAACGAUGCAUAGCCGACCUGAGAGGGUGAUCAGCCACACUGGAACUGAGACACGGUCCAGACUCCUACGGGAGGCAGCAGUAGGGAAUCUUCCGCAAUGGGCGAAAGCCUGACGGAGCAACGCCGCGUGAGUGAUGAAGGUCUUCGGAUCGUAAAACUCUGUUAUUAGGGAAGAACAUAUGUGUAAGUAACUGUGCACAUCUUGACGGUACCUAAUCAGAAAGCCACGGCUAACUACGUG
rnacentral:rRNA from 1 species